rnacentral:rRNA from 1 species
UACAUGGGGUGCAAACGUUGCUCGGAAUUAUUGGGCGUAAAGCGCGCGUAGGCGGUUACUUAAGUCGGAUGUGAAAGCCCUCGGCUUAACUGAGGAAGUGCACCCGAAACUGAGUAGCUAGAGUACGAAAGAGGGUCGCGGAAUUCCCGGUGUAGAGGUGAAAUUCGUAGAUAUCGGGAGGAACACCGGUGGCGAAGGCGGCAUCCUGGACCGAGAUUGACGCUGAGGCGCGAAAGCCAGGGGAGCAAACGGG